UGAGGAAUAUUGGUCAAUGGACGAGAGUCUGAACCAGCCAAGUAGCGUGAAGGAUGAAGGUCCUACGGAUUGUAAACUUCUUUUAUAAGGGAAUAAAACCUCCCACGUGUGGGAGCUUGUAUGUACCUUAUGAAUAAGCAUCGGCUAACUCCGUGCCAGCAGCCGCGGUAAUACGGAGGAUGCGAGCGUUAUCCGGAUUUAUUGGGUUUAAAGGGAGCGCAGACGGGUCGUUAAGUCAGCUGUGAAAGUUUGGGGCUCAACCUUAAAAUUGCAGUUGAUACUGGCGUCCUUGAGUGCGGUUGAGGUGUGCGGAAUUCGUGGUGUAGCGGUGAAAUGCUUAGAUAUCACGAAGAACUCCGAUUGCGAAGGCAGCACACUAAGCCGUAACUGACGUUCAUGCUCGAAAGUGUGGGUAUCAAACAGG
rnacentral:rRNA from 2 species